CAUUAUACCGUGAAACUGCGAAUGGCUCAUUAAAUCAGUUAUCGUUUAUUUGAUAGUACCUUACUACUUGGAUAACCGUGGUAAUUCUAGAGCUAAUACAUGCUAAAAACCUCGACUUCGGGAGAGGUGUGUUUAUUAGAUAAAAAACCAAUGCCCUCCGGGGCUCCUUGGUGAUUCAUGAUAACUUCUCAGAUCGCAUGGCUACACGCCGGCGACGGUUCAUUCAAAUUUCUGCCCUAUCAACUUUCGAUGGUAAGGUAGUGGCUUACCAUGGUUUCAACGGGUAACGGGGAAUUAGGGUUCGAUUCCGGAGAGGGAGCCGGAGGAACGGCUACCACAUCCAAGGAAGGCAGCAGGCGCGCAAAUUACCCAAUGCCAAAUCGGCGAGGUAGCGACAAGAAAUACUGAUACAGGGCUCUUUUGGGUCUUGUAAUUGGAAUGAGUACAAUUUAAACCUCUUAACGAGGAACAAUUGGAGGGCAAGUCUGGUGCCAGCAGCCGCGGUAAUUCCAGCUCCAAUAGCGUAUAUAAAGUUGUUGCAGUUAAAAAGCUCGUAGUUGAACCUUUGGCCUGGCUGGCAGGUCCGCCUCACCGCGUGCACUUGCCCGGCCGGGCCUUUUCUUCUGGAGAACCGCAGGCCCUUCACUGGGUGUGUUGGGGACCAGGACUUUUACUUUGAAAAAAUUAGAGUGUUCAAAGCAGGCCUUUGCUCGAAUACGUUAGCAUGGAAUAAUAGAAUAGGACGUGCGGUCCUAUUUUGUUGGUUUCUAGGACCGCCGUAAUGAUUAAUAGGGACAGUCGUGGGCAUCAGUAUUCAAUUGUCAGAGGUGAAAUUCUUGGAUUUAUUGAAGACUAACUACUGCGAAAGCAUUUGCCAAGGAUGUUUUCAUUAAUCAGUGAACGAAAGUUAGGGGAUCGAAGACGAUCAGAUACCGUCGUAGUCUUAACCAUAAACUAUGCCGACUAGGGAUCGGGCGGUGUUUCUAUUGUGACCCGCUCGGCACCUUACGAGAAAUCAAA
rnacentral:rRNA from 1 species